rnacentral:lncRNA from 1 species
UGAAAAGUACCUUUUAUUGGUCCCCUCCUGCAACCAGGACUGAUGAACCUGGACAACUUGUAGUCAAGACCAUGCGCCAGUAACAUAUUUUGGUGAGCCAGCAAGGAGAUGAUAAUGGGAAACACUCCAUCUAUUCCACCCGACUUCCCACUUGGCUACAUCCUCAACCAUUAGAAUCAAUUUGACCCUGAUAAUCCAAUUUGACCCUGAUAUUUCAAGGAGGAAAUGCUUGAUAUUCUUUUGCAAUACUGUUUGGCCUCACUAUUGUUGGGAAUCUGAAGUUUGCUGCUAAAUGGGGAAGUGGAAUGGAGUUGCAUGUAUCCAGGCUUUUGUGCUGCUGUUCUAAGCUGGGUUUGACCUGGUUAACAUGUGAUGCUCUCCUUUGGUAUUGUAUGGCCCCAGUGUUCUUCAGAAUUUAAAAAUCAAACUGCCAUGGAAACUGCUUUACCUAAAAUUUUGGUUCACAGCUUUCAUUGGAUUACUUAUUGGGGCCAACACAAUGUAACCAUGUAAAAUCAGUGAGAUUGUAUUGCUACCUCAUGGCUAGAGUUCCAAGGUAAAAGCUAUUGGAUUCUUAUUUGUG